rnacentral:rRNA from 1 species
GGUGAAUGCUGGCGGCGUGCUUAACACAUGCAAGUCGAACGGUGAAGCCAAGCUUGCUUGGUGGAUCAGUGGCGAACGGGUGAGUAACACGUGAGCACCCUGCCCUGGACUCUGGGAUAAGCGCUGGAAACGGCGUCUAAUACUGGAUAUGAGACGUGAUCGCAUGGUCGUGUUUGGAAAGAUUUUUCGGUCUGGGAUGGGCUCGCGGCCUAUCAGCUUGUUGGUGAGGUAAUGGCUCACCAAGGCGUCGACGGGUAGCCGGCCUGAGAGGGUGACCGGCCACACUGGGACUGAGACACGGCCCAGACUCCUACGGGAGGCAGCAGUGGGGAAUAUUGCACAAUGGGCGGAAGCCUGAUGCAGCAACGCCGCGUGAGGGAUGACGGCCUUCGGGUUGUAAACCUCUUUUAGCAGGGAAGAAGCGAAAGUGACGGUACCUGCAGAAAAAGCGCCGGCUAACUACGUGCCAGCCGCCGCCGUAAAAC